UGCAGGUGGAUGUGCUGACU
rnacentral:misc_RNA from 1 species